GAAGACCUCCUCGCGUUUUCACCAUGGAUUCGCUUAUUUUAUUCAUCAAGGACAAGGCCGUGGAAAGUUUAACAAGUAUGGUGGCUGAAUUACUCACAGAGGAGGUGUUUAACCAUGCCUUUUAAGUCUUUUGUUGUUAUAUACAGAUGAACUGCUGUUACAAAGGUGCUUCAUUUGUAAGAUUCAUCGGAAGUCUAUGAAAACAGUGGGUUACAGCACUACCAAAACAGAUGACGGCCAUGCGAGAAUUCCAGCCCAUACUGCCCUCUGACGCAAAAACAAAAGGCUGCCCUGCCCCUGGGGCCCCUAGAUUAGGCAUUCAGAGAUUUUUACUCCCUGUUAGGCAGGGUCAACGCCCAAACUCAGCCUGGAAGUAGUUUCAGAAGUCGGACCAUCGCCCCUCUGCACCCCCAUGAGAUUAUGGGAGUAAAAUCUCUGAGGGGGGAAUGAGACAGGAGGGAAGGGGGCAAGGCACAGCCAUUCAAGGAAUGACACAGCAAUUAACACCAGAAUGAUGGAAGAGUCAACUCAAAGGGGACUUUGAGGCUCAAGAUGGUGGGAGAUCUGACUUCUAGUUGGAAUGGUCCUCCCACUUCCUGGUAUGUGAAGACACCAAGCCCAUAAAAACUAGCAACACCGCAUCUCGUGGCUGCUUUUCUCACUCCCUCAUCUUCGGAGAAGGCCUGCAGACUGUCUAGGGAGUGUGUAUCUACUUUUACUUCAACCUGAGCACCCAAUCCCCACACCUGGUGACCUUUCUCUUAACUUUUGAAGCAGCCUACACUUUAUGCAGCAUAUAUCUCUCUAAAUAAAUCUACCUUUACU